UUAAGCGACUAAGCGUACACGGUGGAUGCCCUGGCAGUCAGAGGCGAUGAAGGACGUGCUAAUCUGCGAAAAGCGUCGGUAAGGUGAUAUGAACCGUUACAGCCGGCGAUGUCCGAAUGGGGAAACCCAGUGCAAUUCGUUGCACUAUCGUUUGAUGAAUACAUAGUCAAACGAGGCGAACCGGGGGAACUGAAACAUCUAAGUACCCCGAGGAAAAGAAAUCAACCGAGAUUCCCCCAGUAGCGGCGAGCGAACGGGGAGCAGCCCGGAGUCUGAAUCAGCUUGUGUGUUAGUGGAAGCGUCUGGAAAGUCGCAGGGUACAGGGUGAUACUCCCGUACACUAAAACACACAGGCUGUGAACUCGAAGAGUAGGGCGGGACACGUGGUAUCCUGUCUGAAUAUGGGGGGACCAUCCUCCAAGGCUAAAUACUCCUGACUGACCGAUAGUGAACCAGUACCGUGAGGGAAAGGCGAAAAGAACCCCGGCGAGGGGAGUGAAAAAGAACCUGAAACCGUGUACGUACAAGCAGUAGGAGCCCACUUGUUGGGUGACUGCGUACCUUUUGUAUAAUGGGUCAGCGACUUAUAUUCUGUAGCAAGGUUAACCGUAUAGGGGAGCCGCAGGGAAACCGAGUCUUAACUGGGCGUUAAGUUGCAGGGUAUAGACCCGAAACCCGGUGAUCUAGCCAUGGGCAGGUUGAAGGUUGGGUAACACUAACUGGAGGACCGAACCGACUAAUGUUGAAAAAUUAGCGGAUGACUUGUGGCUGGGGGUGAAAGGCCAAUCAAACCGGGAGAUAGCUGGUUCUCCCCGAAAGCUAUUUAGGUAGCGCCUCGUGAACUCAUCUUCGGGGGUAGAGCACUGUUUCGGCUAGGGGGUCAUCCCGACUUACCAACCCGAUGCAAACUACGAAUACCGAAGAAUGUUAUCACGGGAGACACACGGCGGGUGCUAACGUCCGUCGUGAAGAGGGAAACAACCCAGACCGCCAGCUAAGGUCCCAAAGUCAUGGUUAAGUGGGAAACGAUGUGGGAAGGCCCAGACAGCCAGGAUGUUGGCUUAGAAGCAGCCAUCAUUUAAAGAAAGCGUAAUAGCUCACUGGUCGAGUCGGCCUGCGCGGAAGAUGUAACGGGGCUAAACCAUGCACCGAAGCUGCGGCAGCGACGCUUAUGCGUUGUUGGGUAGGGGAGCGUUCUGUAAGCCGUUGAAGGUGGCCUGUGAGGGUUGCUGGAGGUAUCAGAAGUGCGAAUGCUGACAUAAGUAACGAUAAUGCGGGUGAAAAACCCGCACGCCGGAAGACCAAGGGUUCCUGUCCAACGUUAAUCGGGGCAGGGUGAGUCGACCCCUAAGGCGAGGCCGAAAGGCGUAGUCGAUGGGAAACAGGUUAAUAUUCCUGUACUUGGUGUUACUGCGAAGGGGGGACGGAGAAGGCUAUGUUGGCCGGGCGACGGUUGUCCCGGUUUAAGCGUGUAGGUGUGUGUUCCAGGUAAAUCCGGUUCACUUUAACACUGAGGCGUGAUGACGAGGCACUACGGUGCUGAAGUGACAAAUGCCCUGCUUCCAGGAAAAGCCUCUAAGCAUCAGGUAACAUCAAAUCGUACCCCAAACCGACACAGGUGGUCAGGUAGAGAAUACCAAGGCGCUUGAGAGAACUCGGGUGAAGGAACUAGGCAAAAUGGUGCCGUAACUUCGGGAGAAGGCACGCUGAUAUGUAGGUGAAGUGGUUUACCCAUGGAGCUGAAAUCAGUCGAAGAUACCAGCUGGCUGCAACUGUUUAUUAAAAACACAGCACUGUGCAAACACGAAAGUGGACGUAUACGGUGUGACGCCUGCCCGGUGCCGGAAGGUUAAUUGAUGGGGUUAUCCGUAAGGAGAAGCUCUUGAUCGAAGCCCCGGUAAACGGCGGCCGUAACUAUAACGGUCCUAAGGUAGCGAAAUUCCUUGUCGGGUAAGUUCCGACCUGCACGAAUGGCGUAAUGAUGGCCAGGCUGUCUCCACCCGAGACUCAGUGAAAUUGAACUCGCUGUGAAGAUGCAGUGUACCCGCGGCAAGACGGAAAGACCCCGUGAACCUUUACUAUAGCUUGACACUGAACACUGGUCCUUGAUGUGUAGGAUAGGUGGGAGGCUUUGAAGUGUGGACGCCAGUCUGCAUGGAGCCAUCCUUGAAAUACCACCCUUUAAUGGCUGGUGUUCUAACGUGGGCCCGUAAUCCGGGUUGCGGACAGUGUCUGGUGGGUAGUUUGACUGGGGCGGUCUCCUCCUAAAGAGUAACGGAGGAGCACGAAGGUCAGCUAAUCCUGGUCGGACAUCAGGAGGUUAGUGCAAUGGCAUAAGCUGGCUUGACUGCGAGCGUGACGGCGCGAGCAGGUGCGAAAGCAGGUCAUAGUGAUCCGGUGGUUCUGAAUGGAAGGGCCAUCGCUCAACGGAUAAAAGGUACUCCGGGGAUAACAGGCUGAUACCGCCCAAGAGUUCAUAUCGACGGCGGUGUUUGGCACCUCGAUGUCGGCUCAUCACAUCCUGGGGCUGAAGUAGGUCCCAAGGGUAUGGCUGUUCGCCAUUUAAAGUGGUACGCGAGCUGGGUUUAGAACGUCGUGAGACAGUUCGGUCCCUAUCUGCCGUGGGCGCUGGAGAAUUGAGGGGGGCUGCUCCUAGUACGAGAGGACCGGAGUGGACGCAUCACUGGUGUUCGGGUUGUCAUGCCAAUGGCAUUGCCCGGUAGCUAAAUGCGGAAGAGAUAAGUGCUGAAAGCAUCUAAGUACGAAACUUGCCCCGAGAUGAGUUCUCCCUGACUCCUUGAGAGUCCUGAAGGAACGUUGAAGACGACGACGUUGAUAGGCCGGGUGUGUAAGCGCAGCGAUGCGUUGAGCUAACCGGUACUAAUGAACCGUGAGGCUUAACCUU
rnacentral:rRNA from 1 species